GAAUUUUGGACAAUGGGCGAAAGCCUGAUCCAGCAAUGCCGCGUGCAGGAUGAAGGCCUUCGGGUUGUAAACUGCUUUUGUACGGAACGAAAAGCUUUGGGUUAAUACCCUGGAGUCAUGACGGUACCGUAAGAAUAAGAAGCGGCUAAACACCGUCAAGCAGCCGCGGUAAUACGUAGGGUGCAAGCGUUAAUCCGCAUUACUGGGCGUAAAGCGUGCGCAGGCGGGUUUGUAAGACAGAGGUGAAAUCCCCGGGCUCAACCUGGGAACUGCCUUUGUGACUGCAAGGCUAGAGUACGGCAGAGGGGGGUGGAAUUCCGCGUGUAGCAGUGAAAUGCGUAGAUAUGCGGAGGAACACCGAUGGCGAAGGCAACCCCCUGGGCCUGUACUGACGCUCAUGCACGAAAGCGUGGGGAGCAAACAGG
rnacentral:rRNA from 1 species